GCCAAGAUUAAAGGAGUCAUACCUGAUCACAUUUGAGGAUGUUCGUGAUGCUGAAGACGCUUUACAUAAUUUGGAUAGAAAGUGGAUUUGUGGACGGCAGAUUGAAAUACAGUUUGCCCAGGGGGAUCGAAAGACACCAAAUCAGAUGAAAGCCAAGGAAGGGAGGAAUGUGUACAGUUCUUCACGCUAUGAUGAUUAUGACAGAUACAGACGUUCUAGAAGCCGAAGUUAUGAAAGGAGGAGAUCAAGAAGUCGGUCUUUUGAUUACAACUAUAGAAGAUCGUAUAGUCCUAGAAAUAGACCGACUGGAAGACCACGGCGUAGCAGAAGCCAUUCCGACAAUGAUAGAUUCAAACACCGAAAUCGAUCUUUUUCAAGAUCUAAAUCCAAUUCAAGAUCACGGUCCAAGUCCCAGCCCAAGAAAGAAAUGAAGGCUAAAUCACGUUCUAGGUCUGCAUCUCACACCAAAACUAGAGGCACCUCUAAAACAGAUUCCAAAACACAUUAUAAGUCUGGCUCAAGAUAUGAAAAGGAAUCAAGGAAAAAAGAACCACCUAGAUCCAAAUCUCAGUCAAGAUCACAGUCUAGGUCUAGGUCAAAAUCUAGAUCAAGGUCUUGGACUAGUCCUAAGUCCAGUGGCCACUGAUAGUAUAAACCAUGGUCAUUUUUAGGCAUGUAUCAUUCAUUUACUCAUAGUUUGGUUUACUUAAAUUAUCAGGAAUACAAUGUUGCAAUGAUGCUUAAAAAACACUUGUUAGUUUUCCCUGUACCAGGCAAUGGUUAUAAUUAAAAUGAUAUGCUGUUGAGAAGCCA
rnacentral:sRNA from 1 species